rnacentral:rRNA from 1 species
UACAGAGGUCUCAAGCGUUGUUCGGAUUCAUUGGGCGUAAAGGGUGCGUAGGCGGCGCGGUAAGUCGGGUGUGAAAUCUCGGAGCUUAACUCCGAAACUGCAUUCGAUACUGCCGUGCUUGAGGACUGGAGAGGAGACUGGAAUUUACGGUGUAGCGGUGAAAUGCGUAGAUAUCGGUAAGGAAGACCAGUGGCGAAGGCGGGUCUCUGGACAGUUCCUGACGCUGAGGCACGAAGGCCAGGGGAGCAAACGGG